AAGCUGCGGAGUGCUCAAUACCUUUUAAAGAAAUUUCCCAUAGAGUGUGGCAUUUCACAAAGAAAGAUUUGGUUAUUAUCUUUCCUUUGUUUCUUCUUUUUUUCAGGUGAAAAGGAAAAAAUGAAGCCAAGAGUGUUUCUCAGUUGUCACCCCUGUUCCGUGUGAGAAGGGACUGCACAAGGACAUGAACACCAGGAGGCAAAUCACUGGAGGUCCGUUUUGGAGUCUGGGUACCACUCCCUGUAUAUCACAGACUCUGUCCUAUUCAACAAUAUCCCUUGCGGCCAGGAAAGUACCUGACACUCAAUGAAUGUUUGAUUAAUAGGAGACUAACGGCUCCACUUCCCUAGUGACAGCCACUGUUGGGGACUCCGACCUGCACUGGAAGAAGUUGGCCUGGGAUUACGCAAGUCUUUGAGAGCUUCCUCAAUUCAAGCGUACAAAAUGAUGCCCUCAGGAAGCUUCCUCAUUCUUGGAGCGGCACCCUCUGAACCUCUGCGCCUCCCAGGCCACUGCCACAGGGAAGAGGUGGUCAUCUAGGCAAACUGAAUUGCAAGGAAAGCUGGGGACUCUAGGGAAUGACAAUGAGUACUUUGAACACUGUCUCUGGCAUGGAAGUAGUGGAUCAAAAGGCUUCAUUUAUGUAGACAACAAUCCUUCCAAAGACCAUGCGUGUUUUCAUUGGAAACAACCGAUAAAGAAGUCAACAGACUCUGGAAUUGACAUCUGUGUUUCAACAUUUGCCCAAGAAAAAUAAGUUGCACCUUUAUAAUGACAUACUCCUGUGUAAAAUAUCAAUUAUGAUUAAUUUAAAAUAAUAUCAUUGGACAUAAUAAUUCUUUUAAAGUAGUAUGGACAAAGUAUUUAGAGUAUUUAGAACUGUAUAAUAACUGCUAUGCAUAAGCUCUCUUUCAGAUCAGAAACUUUAAACAUUUAGACAUGAAGCACACCAAAUAAGGGAGACAUAAGACAAGGCUGCUGUAUCCAUGGGCCCAUGGAGUGUCAUUUGUGGUUUCUGCAUGUGAGUGGUGUGAUGCAGGGUCAUUCAAAAUGAGAAAGGUGGACUUUUCCCUGGAGUUGUGCAAUACAGCAGCCCCAAGCAAAAAGCUGGGAAAAUAUUCAUUUUAAUCUUUAUUGGAAAACAUUUGCCUUAGGAACUGUCAUUAAGCACUCUCAAGAAGAGAGCAAACGUGCAGAUAAAUUAGAGAGAAUUUUUGUCUAAAGCCUUCUGUUGGAGAUCAGGUAAAAAAAAAAAACGCAACCUAAUAAGAUAAUUUAGCUGCUGGGCUGAAAAUGUGAGUAAGCAUAGAAA